UCUGCAGCUCCAGGGUCUCCACCAGGUCCGUGUUCCAGACCAUUCCUGGGGACACAAAAAGUUCCAUCAGGGGCAGGUGGGACCCAGUCACAUGGGCCCUCCGAGCUGUCAGCCUGGGCCUGCUAGUCCAUGGAGUCACUGGUUGUGGCUUUAUAGCUGUGGGCCAGGACCCAUCCAGACAGCAAGCACGGAACUAAGUCAGCACUGACGGGACAGACACCAGCCCACCCUGCAGAAGGCAGGGCCCAACAGUGUGCACAGAGCCCACUGUCUGCUCACCCCGGUCGAACGUCUUCAGGUGCUUUAGGUCUCCGUAGAGCUUGCUGAUUUUCCCACAACCUUCUUGCAACACGCUUCCCACACGGAACACGGCAGCAUGAUUUUGCAUUUACUUCUGCAUGCUGAGUCGCAGUUCUGAUGUUCUUAUGCUUCCAUCAGCAAAUCUCAAUUUGUCAAGAUUCAUGACAGAUUCUUCCCCAGCGUUUGGUUUAAUUGGAGGGACUUUGUC
rnacentral:lncRNA from 1 species